rnacentral:rRNA from 1 species
AGCGAACGCUGGCGGCAGGCCUAACACAUGCAAGUCGAACGAACUCUUCGGAGUUAGUGGCGGACGGGUGAGUAACACGUGGGAACGUGCCUUUAGGUUCGGAAUAACUCAGGGAAACUUGAGCUAAUACCGGAUGUGCUCUUCGGGGGAAAGAUUUAUCGCCUUUAGAGCGGCCCGCGUCUGAUUAGCUAGUUGGUGAGGUAAAGGCUCACCAAGGCGACGAUCAGUAGCUGGUCUGAGAGGAUGAUCAGCCACAUUGGGACUGAGACACGGCCCAAACUCCUACGGGAGGCAGCAGUGGGGAAUCUUGCGCAGUGGGCGAAAGCCUGACGCAGCCAGGCCGGGUGAAUGAUGAAGGUCUUAGGAUUGUAAAAUUCUUUCACCGGGGACGAUAAUGACGGUACCCGGAGAAGAAGCCCCGGCUAACUUCGUG